rnacentral:rRNA from 1 species
UAAUGUAGCGUAAUCAAUAGCCAAUUAAUUGUUGGCCGGUAUGAAUGGCAUCACGAAGGCCCCACUGUCUUAAGAGGACUCUCCAUGAAAUUGAAUUCGUAGUGNANAUGCUACGUCCAUAUNGUAAGACGAAAAGACCCCAUUGAGCUUUACNAAAGACUUGUAUGGCUCGAAAUAACUNAAAUAAAAAGUUUAGAUAANGUGGGAUCGUUUUUGGUUAANGAAACACACUCUUUUAUUUUAAGANAGCUAACCUUGUAGGGAGAAUGC